rnacentral:tRNA from 1 species
UAGUUUUUAUUUUAUUUUAGAAUUUUUAAUUGUUAAUUAAAAGGAGGAUAGACUAA